rnacentral:ncRNA from 2 species
AAUAUAAUUUAUAUUUUCACUUAUAUAUACCUUGAAUAUGGCGAGGAGUAUCUACCGGAAACCUUAAAAUUCCGACUAUGAGUGGUUACUGCAUACUG